UCUCCCUCUUCUCCCAUCAAUCUCUCUUCCUCUCGAUCAGACUGCUAGCUACGCUCAAUUGUAGCAACCCGGUAACCCAUCUUCGCUAACAAGGGGUUUGAAUCCAUUGAGUGCAUUGACGAACGGGGUUAAGAUAAGGGAUGUUUCAAAGUGGGAAGAAGAUGCAGAUGAGUACAUCAGGAAAAAUCUUCUAUCUGAUCUUGUAUGCGAGUUUGCUUUUUAUUGAAUGUGCCCUUUUAAAUCACCUUUGUUUUGCAUUUAACUUCCUUUUAUUUCACUACUUUUGAUCUUAUUAGAGGUCAUUUCUCCUUACAGGAAGAAGCUUCCGGAUGGAACGAAGAUCCCUUUACUGCAAGGAAAGGUGUGAUAAGUUUACUUGGCGUUAUUUCAAUGUCAAAGGUCAGUCUUCCUUAGAAAUCAUAGUUAACAAAAUAAUCUUCACUAUAUAAUGAAUUUUUAGUUUCAUUUCUGGUUUGCAGGGGCCUCCAAUUUCUAUAGGUUCGGUGAAACGCAAAAAAGGUGAUAAAAAUAAUGGAAAAGAACAACGCAUCUUUGUGAUGGAGUUGUUAGUGAUAUCAUUUUUAUCCAAGUUUCCCAUUCCCUUGGAUGUUGUUCUGAACCCAUCUAGGACUUCAAAUGAAUUUGCUUGUGUCGGUGAUGUUGUUUUGGCUCCUCAUGAUAUGAUGAGCGAUGUCUUUCUAGAAAUGGGGAAGAUGUCAAAGUAUGGUGGCUGUGAAGGUUUUGCUAGCUUUUCAUUUAUACUUUGGGAGG